GCGUUUGUGGCCGAGUGGUUAAGGCGUUUGACUCGAAAUCAAAUGGGCUCUGCCCGCGCAGGUUCGAAUCCUGCCAAACGCG